AGUCUGGUGCCAGCAGCCGCGGUAAUUCCAGCUCUAAUAGCGUAUAUUAAAGUUGUUGCGGUUAAAAAGCUCGUAGUUCAAUCUUGGGUGUUCGCGGUGACGGUCGGCCCACUGGGUCUGUACUGUUUCGCGGCACUCGUCCAGGCUAGGUGCUCGCCUUGCUCUUAACUGAGUGAGGAGUAUUAGAGUUCUAGCGCUUUUACUUUGAGUAAUUUAGAGUGUUCAAAGCAGGCAAAAUCUUCAGCCACUAAAUACAUUAGCAUGGGAUAUGGAAUAGGACCUUGUUUCUAUUUCGGUGGUUUCUGGGAGCAGGGUAAUGAUUAAUAGGGACAGUUGGGGGCAUUCGUAUUUAAUUGUCAGAGGUGAAAUUCAUGGAUUUGUUAAAGACGAACUACUGCGAAAGCAUUUGCCAAGGAUGUUUUCAUUAAUCAAGAACGAAAGUUAGGGGAUCGAAGACGAUCAGAUACCGUCGUAGUCUUAACCAUAAACUAUGCCGACCAAGGAUCGGACGGUGUUAUUUAGAUGACCCGUCCGGCACUUUACGAGAAAUCACAAGUCUUUGGGUUCCGGGGGGAGUAUGGUCGCAAGGCUGAAACUUAAAGGAAUUGACGGAAGGGCACCACCAGGAGUGGAGCCUGCGGCUUAAUUUGACCCAACACGGGAAAACUCACCAGGUCCAGACAUAAGAAGGAUUGACAGAUUGAGAGCUCUUUCUUGAUUUUAUGGGUGGUGGUGCAUGGCCGUUCUUAGUUGGUGGAGUGAUUUGUCUGGUUAAUUCCGAUAACGAACGAGACCACAGCCUGCUAACUAGUUACGCUUAUACUUUGCCUCGUGUGAUGUAUAGGUGGCAAUACUUCUUAGAGGGACUUUCAGCGUUUAGCUGAAGGAAGUUUGUGGCAAUAACAGGUCUGUGAUGCCCUUAGAUGUUCUGGGCCGCACGCGCGCUACACUGACCGUGGCAACGAGUUUACCACCUUGCCCGAAGGGGCUGGGUAAUCUUUUGAAACGCGGUCGUGCUGGGGAUAGAUCAUUGCAAUUAUUGAUCUUGAACGAGGAAUUCCUAGUAAGCGCGAUUCAUCAGAUCGCGUUGAUUACGUCCCUGCCCUUUGUACACACCGCCCGUCGCACCUACCGAUUGGAUGAUCCGGUGAAAUUUUCGGAGAGAGAGCUAACGUGGGGCAACUCACUGGUUUUCUCAAAGUUACUUAAACCUUAUUAU
rnacentral:rRNA from 1 species